rnacentral:rRNA from 1 species
UACGUAGGGGGCUAGCGUUGUCCGAAAUCAUUGGGCGUAAAGAGCGCGUAGGCGGCUGGAAUAGUCCGGUGUGAAAUCCACAGGCUUAACCUGUGAAUGCCGCUGGAAACUGUCUGGCUAGAGUCCGGAAGGGGCGAGUGGAAUUCCUGGUGUAGCAGUGAAAUGCGUAGAUAUCAGGAGGAAUACCGAUGGCGAAGGCAGGUCUCUGGGCUGACACUGACGCUCAUGCACGAAAGCGUGGGGAGCAAACAGG